GGCAGAGAUGGCAUGUGCCCCAGAUUGCUGGAGCAGCAGUAGCACAGAUGUGGAUGCUUGCACAUCUGUCAGUCACUGACAACUAGGGAGGCACAGCUUCGGCUCAAUGGGUCACUUCUCGGUGUAUAUGCUCCAUGGCCACAGUGAUUGACACUUAAGACGACAGUGCUGCUGAAUCAUCUCUGAUAGGCCAAAUUUGCAUGCAUUUCAUGUCUUUCAGUGUUAUGUGAAUGUUCUAAUUAUGACUCUCUUGGUUUCAGGAAACAGUCUCACACACUAGUUUAUGAUGUUUUUAUAAUGACACAUGGAAACUUAGGGGAACCUGAGGGCAGAAAGGCAGGCAUCCUGAGAAAUGAAAGCAGGACGGAGAAUGUGAUCAGGACGUAAAGCAGUUAUUCUCUCAGGGUUUGCAUGGUUUUACUCCUCUCUCAGUAUGGGAGGGGGUGGUGGUGUCUGUAGUCUUUCUUUCUCAUUUUGUUUCUCUUUCUUCCUCUCUUAGGUUAGUUUUCACUACUUACUGACCUUACACAUGCACUCCAUCUUCAGCAAUGUCAUGACUUAUUAGGUUUAAAUCCACUGUUGACUGGCAAUAGUCUCUUGUGUCCUGGGUCGAAUUCAAAAUGGAAUGAGAGUGCCAGUUUUCUUUUGUUUAUCUCUAUAAGCCAAGCCAAACACACUCUUGGCUGCCUUUGAGAGAAAGUGCAUCCUGGUUAGUCAGCUGUGUUGAGGGUAAGUCAUGUGACAUGUGAACCUGCAUCCUUCAGGGACUGCAGACGAAUCAGGUGAUGUGAUAUGUAUGUAUCAUUUUCAUUUUGAUCAUGAUUACUCAUGACAUGUUUAGUUAACCAACAUUUAUACAGCUUUCUUAAACACACAUUUGGGGGAUUUUGCAACCAUUAAUAAAACAUAUCUUGGAAAUAUUUAUAAUUCAUUGGA
rnacentral:lncRNA from 1 species